CCUUCAGCCUCUGCGUGCCGUGUGCAAAGGAAAAACAGCCGUUAAACGGGCCGCGGGGCGGGGCCAGCGGAGCGGCCAACAAGCGGCGCGGCGAUUGGCGGCAGCGGGACGUUCAAAUCAGUACGGGGCGCUCCGAUUGGCUCGGGGUGGCCGCGGCAGGCCGGGCUCCCUCCUCGCGCUCGGGCGGGUAUUGUCUGGCGGCUCCUGUGGCGGUUCGAGCGGCGGAGUCGGGGACCGGAGCUCGGGCGGCGGCGGCACCAUGGCAGGUGGGAAGGCUGGGAAGGACAGCGGGAAGGCCAAGGCGAAGGCGGUGUCUCGCUCGCAGAGAGCCGGAUUGCAGGUGAAGUUGCCCUGCCGUGCCUCGUCCUUCGGUCGCCGCUCGCCCUC
rnacentral:lncRNA from 1 species